CUUGCAGACAAGCACUCCUGGUUUUGUGUCAAAGACGGAGUCAAGAGCCCUCUCUUAAUCCCGAGCAAGGACCACGAGUGAUUGAAAAGUGAAAGGAAGCCCUUAUUGGUCCUCGAGCUGGAUAGUGUUUUCUUUGUCCUGCACUAUAUACGAUGUGCAUCUUUAGACAUAAACAAAUGGAGGGGGGAGGGAGAAUGAGCUGCAGAUUGGAAUUGGAUUGGGAGAGCUCCCUGUAGGAGCUGCGACAGACGGACAGGGGCCAGGUGAGGGAGGGGGAUUUCCAGUGUGAGGAGUCGCACCUCUCCUCUGCCGAUGCAACAGGGGCCUGCUUAAUGAGGGCACCUACGGGGCCCCUCCUGGAUAAAGAAGUGGCCUAACCUCGCCACGGCCCCAGACGGAACUGGAGCACCUGCGUGCCUGUGGUCCCCCUCCUGGUUUCCUCCUGUCACCGCCCUCUUCGUCAAGAGCUCAUGCCUCCAACUUCUACCUGUGACAAAGUCUAACGCUGCAUAUGGUUGUUUUGACAAUCAAAGGAGGAGCUGGGCAGCAUCCCUCCGCCCUCCUCACUGCUCCCACACUCCCAGUGUAAUGAACACAUUGGGACUACUCUUCUCCUCCCUUAAACCUGAGUGGAAUGAAAAAGUGAGUGAAUCUCUUUCUUUAAAUUGUUACACAGAGGAACAUCUCAAAGAAUUGGAUCAUCGUUGAAAGUAUAUUUCAGUAGCUAAAAAGUGAAACUCGCAUAGAUUUGUGAAACACAAAUUGGAACAUUUCAGCUGUACAUUUCUGAA